UACGUGAGCCCCAAGCGUUACCCGGAUUUACUGGGCGUAAAGGGUUCGUAGGCGGCUCUAUUAGUCGUUCGUUAAAUCCCGCGGCUCAACUGCGGAAUCGCGAACGAAACGGUAGAGCUCGAGGGCGCGAGAGGUCUGUGGAACUCAUGGUGUAGGGGUGAAAUCCGUUGAUAUCAUGGGGAACACCGAAAGCGAAGGCAGCAGACUGGUGCGUUCCUGACGCUCAUGAACGAAAGCCAGGGUAGCGAACGGG
rnacentral:misc_RNA from 1 species